ensembl:lncRNA
AAAAGCAAGAAAUUCAAAUGGCUCAUGAUUAUUCCACGAGUAUAAAAUAAUGAUAUUAAAUACUCUGCACUGGGCCUCUACAUAUAUUUUUGCCUUGUUUUCUAACAAUACUUUAUAUUUUAAUGUUUUAUUUUGAAACAGAUUAGUGUAUUAUAACCUUUUUUAACUCGCCGUGUAAUUAGUAUGUCUCCCUUUUUGGCCACAUGUUUGAUGCACCAGCAUGACGAACAGAUGACAUUUACAUUAUUGUUAAACUUAUGUAAUAUUUUACAAAAUAUGUUUAGUCCAUAAAAAAGCAUUUACCGGAGAGCGUGCCCCUCAUAUUCCAAACCACCCUCCUGAUUUCUGUAAAAGAUAGACAGGAACAUGGGCAGGAUGUUUAUACAGCAAAAUGUAAACAUUUUCCCUGGCCUUCUUUAAAUAAAAAAAUCAAGCAAAAGCCCCGUUAGAUCAGCUAAUACCCAAUCUGACGCGAUAUGUCCGUCUGUUCGCAGCGUCUUGUGUACAUGCUGGACGUUUUUACACAUGAAUAUUGUUUGUGUAAUGCAGUCAUAAUAUUUACGCAGGCACGCAGGAGGAGAGAGGUGGAAACUCUGCCGAGCAGUGAGCACAGAAACUCGGAUGGGGACUUGAAAUCGUCUCCUGCAGGCAGUUUACCAUCGAUUGAUCCAAGAAACAAAAUAAGGCUGGAGUGGGCAGGCGUGCGGCUUUGGCCACAGGAAGCUGUGACUUCUUUAGAGAAUGGAAGAUGUCUUAUGGGGAGACAUGCUGGCCCCCCACCCACCCACUCACCACCCCAACGUGACCCCUGACCCCUUCAUGUGUUUAUAUCAGACCAUGGAAGUGAGAAAUAGUGAUGAGUCAUUCUGGCUGUGUGUUUACACUCCGGAGUCACGCAAGGAAGGAAAUCAGCCACGGUCUGCUAAAAGUGGCGAGGUGAGAGAGAAUAGCUGCAGUCCCCAAGCGGUGCAGUGAUUUACCUCUCCGAGCCAGAAUUUAGUUCACGUCAUUUCUGCUGCAACGAUAUUCAACCAGCAAAAAUCAGCAGCAUUAGCAGCACAGUAGGCUCUUGUUGAUGAAAAGGUAAUUCUGAUUGCAGCAAAACACAUGGUAGUUACUGAGGAUAGGGUCAUGUGCUGUACCAUUCCCAUCGUGAUUAUUUCAAGAGAUAAAACAGAUCUAGCAGGCAGAAUAAUUAAUCAAGAAUUAGAAAAUCCUAUUUUUGAGUCUUAGCCUACACAGUGUUGAUCACAUCCAGUUGCUUUCUAGAGACGGCACACAUUAAUAGAAAAUCUAUGUCUUUGCAGAGUCAAUUUUUUAAAGACUAGACACUAGACUAGACAUUCUCAAUUUAAAUUAAAAAUAAAAAUCACAAAAAUACAAAAAUUGGAGUAACAAGAUUUCCACUCAACAAACUUUGUUUUGGUAUAUCUAAAAAAAUAAAAAUAAAAAGAGCUUUAAUCAUUUUAUCCACAAUUUAAAUUUCUUGUUAUUAGCUCCUGCAUAAACAAAAAUGUUAUUUUCAUUAUGCAUUUAUUUUAACACUUGCUCAUAUAUUCUUAUAUUUUUGACAUUACGUCACAAAUUGCACUAGGUCUGGAAAAAAUUAUAAUGAUCAUACUUUAUGUAGAAAUAUGGGAGUUUUAUUAUAAUUACGUGGAUUUAAUGAAAGCAAGUCAGCAGAGGUCCAAAGAAUCUACAGACUCUCCAGUGAUAUCUGUGUUUAGGAAAAAAAUGUUUAAAAAAAAUUGGAUAAAUUCCAAAUACACAGAGAUCCUGAAGUCACUGUAUACAGAUUAUUUAAAUGACAGUUCUUACCAAGCAGAUUUUGAAGUGAGAGCAUAUUAAAUAUGUAGACUUGGUGCUUAGGUCUUUAUCCCUGAAACUGUCUUGACACUACACUUUCAGCACAUUCAUUUCACACAUCAUACAACAGUCUGUGCAUCGGCUUCUAUUAUCACCUGACUGUAUACUUUAUAGCCUCAUUAUAUUGUCACAUGUGUUAGUGACUUUUGGGGAUCUUACAGUAUCACUGCUGCAGGAACCACACUGGAAAGAUAUUUGUGCUCUGGAGAACUUUAUAUUCUAUGUACUGUAAGGUGUGUUUACUGUGGCUUUGACCGGUGUUUCAAACACAGUGUCACUGUUGUCCUCCACACUGAACGACUUUAUAGUCCAGAUUGCACAACUGUUGUUUUCGAGAGACAGCUAUAUUUACUGCAGUUGUGCUCUGUAAAUAAAAGUGACACUUUAUUUCUUUCCAUCAUUACACUGGUGCAAGUAACUUCAUUGCUGACUGUAGUGAGUAUCCUGUUACACACCCCCAUACACAUUGCCGCAAUGAAAGAGUCAGCGGCUCUUAUUUUGGCUGAUCUCUCCUGAAUUGUAAGUCCUGUCAGGGGUUUUGAUUGAUAGUUGUGUUUAUCACCAUAUUAUUAAGUAAUCAGGCUCACCACAGCUGGGCCUGAAGCUCCUUAAUUCCAGCAAAAGCACACGGCUUCAUGCUAAUUAAAGGUUUGGUGAGAGUGUUUAUUUUUGUGAAUUUUUAAAAUAUAGUUGUCUGUGUUUUUAUAAGAGUGCACUGAUUGUUGCAUUUGUAUCCUCUCUGGAACAUUUAAUACCAACCUUUAGUGUCGUAUCUUCAUCAGAAAGGUCACGGACAGUGGAGAGAAAAGCAUGUUGCACGGACUGCAUGUGCAGUGGAGAAAUCUUUGACUGCAUCAUAAUGUAAAACACUUUACUGUAAAACCUGCAAAUGGCGAAUAAGGUUCACACGAUGCAAUAUCUCUGUAUAGAACAUGAGAGGGCCAAUCAGUCUGUGUUCUGUGUAUCAGCAGAAGCUUCUUGCUUCGUUAAUAGAGCCUGCGGCAGGCUGCGUUUGUGUAUUACUGAGGUAAACACAGUCAUGGCAAAGUGGACAUGCUGCUGAGUGUGUCCUGACUGGAGACAGAGAGCACUGUGGCACUGUACUCACUGAGACACUGGCAGCUCUCUAGAGGUAGGGUUAAUGUGAUGAAUGGCCAUUUGGUAAUGGGCCAUGUAUUAGGGUGAAAACGCUCUUUUAAAAGCUUGAGCUGGAGCCAUUGCUAUGGGCAAUUUGAUUCAGGAAUCAAUCAGGUGGCAGAUGUUUCAUGUUGGAUCACACCACUUUGUCUCGCUCUUCGUUUCCUUCUUUUUGAAGGCAGAAUUGCUUGAAUAACUGUGUGUAGCAAUCAAAUGAAAAUAUAACUCCAUGCAAUCAAAAUCAGCGAUACAGUAUUGUUUUAAAAUCUGGCCACAUCUGGCCAUUUGUAUACAAAAACUGAUUGAUCCAAGGUGAAAAAGGUGAAAAAUUAGGCCCUCUGCCACCAGAUUGUAUGGGUUCAAACCACCACAGUGAGGACUGUACUGUACACUGAGUGCUUGCAGUGCUGGUUUCUACACACUGUACAUAAUCGUGAUUUCCAGUAAUACAAAUACCUUUGUGUGUCUUGUACUUUGUCUAUCCACAAUGUGAAAUACCUAAUGUUGAUUAUGUACUAUUUUUGUAACUUAUUAAAAUCUUUGGAUGUUAGGAUAGAGACUUAGAGAUAUGAAUGUAUUAAUAUGGUGGUUUGUGCAAUAAUUACUCCCAAGUUACCAAUUACUGUGAUGCUGUUAUACCUUGAUUACUGUAAAAAUGGCUGUUUUGGAAAUUGAAAUCUUGGACUGAAAGCUUUUAUUUUAACACUGCAUUGCUUUUCAUCAAUAAAUUUCCACUUGGUGCAAAUUCAAAUGGUUAUUUCCUUUGCUGAUAUUUAUUUUUUUUUAUCCUGUUUUGGUUAAAUAAAUGUGCUUUGUUGGGUUUUUAGAAGGUCUAAGAAUUAAU